GACGAACGCUGGCGGCGUGCCUAAUACAUGCAAGUAGAACGCAGAAGGAGGAGCUUGCUCUUCUGGAUGAGUUGCGAACGGGUGAGUAACGCGUAGGUAACCUGCCGGGUAGCGGGGGAGAACUAUUGGAAACGAUAGCUAAUACCGCAUAACAGUAGAUGUUGCAUGACAUUUACUUAAAAGGUGCAAUUGCAUCACUACCAGAUGGACCUGCGUUGUAUUAGCUAGUUGGUGGGGUAACGGCCCACCAAGGCGACGAUAGAUAAUCGACCUGGGAGGGGGAAUGGCCACACUGGGACUGGAGCAAGGCCCAGACCCCCAAGGGAGGCAGCAGUAGGGGAACCUCGGAAAUGGACGGAAGGCUGAACGGGGAACGCCGGGGGAGUGAAGGAGGUUUUCGGAUCGUAAAGCUCUGUUGUAAGGGAAGAACGAGUGUGAGAGUGGAAAGUUCACACUGUGACGGUAUCUUACCAGAAGGGGACGGCUAACUACGUG
rnacentral:rRNA from 1 species